UCUCCGUUGGUGAACCAGCGGAGGGAUCAUUACCGAGUUUACAACUCCCAAACCCAAUGUGAACCAUACCAAACUGUUGCCUCGGCGGGGUCACGCCCCGGGUGCGUCGCAGCCCCGGAACCAGGCGCCCGCCGGAGGGACCAACCAAACUCUUUCUGUAGUCCCCUCGCGGACGUUAUUUUUACAGCUCUAAGCAAAAAUUCAAAAUGAAUCAAAACUUUCAACAACGGAUCUCUUGGUUCUG
rnacentral:misc_RNA from 1 species